CCUACGGGAGGCAGCAGUGAGGAAUAUUGGUCAAUGGGCUUACGCCUGAACCAGCCAAGUCGCGUGAGGGAAGACUGCCCUAUGGGUUGUAAACCUCUUUUGUCAGGGAGCAACGCCGGCUACGUGUAGCCGGACUGAGAGUACCUGAAGAAAAAGCAUCGGCUAACUCCGUGCCAGCAGCCGCGGUAAUACGGAGGAUGCGAGCGUUAUCCGGAUUUAUUGGGUUUAAAGGGUGCGUAGGCGGAAUGCCAAGUCAGCGGUAAAAUCGCGGGGCUCAACCUCGCUCCGCCGUUGAAACUGGCGUUCUUGAGUGGGCGAGAAGUAUGCGGAAUGCGCGGUGUAGCGGUGAAAUGCAUAGAUAUCGCGCAGAACUCCGAUUGCGAAGGCAGCGUACCGGCGCCAGACUGACGCUGAGGCACGAAAGCGUGGGGAUCGAACAGGAUUAGAUACCCUUGUAGUC
rnacentral:rRNA from 1 species